UACGAAGGGGGCUAGCGUUGCUCGGAAUUACUGGGCGUAAAGCGCACGUAGGCGGCUUUCUAAGUCGGGGGUGAAAUCCUGGAGCUCAACUCCAGAACUGCCUUCGAUACUGGAGAGCUUGAGUCCGGGAGAGGUGAGUGGAACUGCGAGUGUAGAGGUGAAAUUCGUAGAUAUUCGCAAGAACACCAGUGGCGAAGGCGGCUCACUGGCCCGGUACUGACGCUGAGACGCGAAAGCCAGGGGAGCGAACGGG
rnacentral:rRNA from 1 species